rnacentral:rRNA from 1 species
AGUGAACGCUGGCGGUAGGCCUAACACAUGCAAGUCGAACGGCAGCACAGUAAGAGCUUGCUCUUACGGGUGGCGAGUGGCGGACGGGUGAGGAAUACAUCGGAAUCUACUUUUUCGUGGGGGAUAACGUAGGGAAACUUACGCUAAUACCGCAUACGACCUACGGGUGAAAGCAGGGGAUCUUCGGACCUUGCGCGACUGAAUGAGCCGAUGUCGGAUUAGCUAGUUGGCGGGGUAAAGGCCCACCAAGGCGACGAUCCGUAGCUGGUCUGAGAGGAUGAUCAGCCACACUGGAACUGAGACACGGUCCAGACUCCUACGGGAGGCAGCAGUGGGGAAUAUUGGGCAAUGGGCGCAAGCCUGAUCCAGCCAUACCGCGUGGGUGAAGAAGGCCUUCGGGUUGUAAAGCCCUUUUGUUGGGAAAGAAAAGCAGCAGGUUAAUACCCCGCUGUUCUGACGGUACCCAAAGAAUAAGCGCCGGCUAACUUCGUG